GCAGUUGUGGUUAAGCUCAGUGGUUAAGACAUUGGAUUUCUGAUCAGAAGAUCAUGAGUUCAAAUCCCAGCACCAGUA